rnacentral:rRNA from 1 species
CGGGGAAUAUUGCACAAUGGGCGAAAGCCUGAUGCAGCGACGCGGCGUGGGGGAUGAAGGCUCUCGGGUUGUAAACCCCUUUCAGCAGGGACGAAUUCAGACGGUACCUGCAGAAGAAGCCCCGGCCAACUACGUGCCAGCAGCCGCGGUAACACGUAGGGGGCAAGCGUUGUCCGGAUUUAUUGGGCGUAAAGAGCUCGUAGGCGGUUCGGUAAGUCGGGUGUGAAAACUCUGGGCUCAACUCAGAGACGCCACCCGAUACUGCCGUGACUUGAGUCUGGUAGGGGAGUGUGGAAUUCCCGGUGUAGCGGUGAAAUGCGCAGAUAUCGGGAGGAACACCAGUGGCGAAGGCGGCACUCUGGGCCAGUACUGACGCUGAGGAGCGAAAGCGUGGGGAGCGAACAGGAUUAGAUACCCUGGUAGCCCACGCCGUAAACGUUGGGCACUAGGUGUGGGUCCUAACCAACGGGAUCCGUGCCGCAGCUAACGCAUUAAGUGCCCCG